CGUCAGCGCUCAAACUUGAGCACAAAGCAGGAGAGAGAGGCAGAGAGACAUAGAGGCAGAGCGGAGAGAGGGAGAGAGAGAGGGAGGGCGAGAGAGAGAGCGAGAGGAGCGGUCCCCUUUUCCUUUGUCUGAUGCGGGGCGCUUUGAGGAGAGAACUUGAGGGGAUGCUCAGACACGCAUCCUCAGAACGCUCAAUAAUACGCAAACAUGUGUUACUUAGAAUGGAAUUGCCAGUGAGCUGCAGUGGAGUGGCCUCCGUCCUUAGGUGGAUUUUAACACCAGAUUAACCAGCAAAGCAUUUUUUCUCCUGUGGGAGGUUAAGGAAGUAACAAAAAAUGUGGAUAUCAUGGCGAAGAUGUACAGAGUCACCUAUCAAGCGGCUUUUGGGACGCGGAGGAGGAUUAAGAGACUCUGCAGUUUUACUUUUGGAGAAGGUGAAGACUCAUCUGAGGAGGAUUUAAACUACAGCAGCAGCAGCAGCAGCAGCAGCAGCAGCAGCGGUGGUGACAGGCUGGUUGCGUUUUAGGCACUCUGGAAAUCUAACACUCAUGGAGACACUUGGAGGAUUAUAGAAAAUGUGCAGUGUGCCUCUUCACAAGACAACGUCAAGGCCCAAAGUCACUGGGAUUGCAGGAUAUUGCCUUUGUGAUCCUCCUCGGCCCUCUGCAUGGGGGUGACAGGAUGAAGAAGAAUCAUGACUCACCAGACGAGAGCCAGGAAAUGAAAAAAACAAAACACCAAACGGAAAAACCUCUCCGACGGCGUGGGAGUGUGGGAGUGGUGAGGUCUGGGAGAUCACGACCUUAAUUCUCUCUAAGACAGGCGGUUUAAUUAACACUGGAGGAAUCCUCACCGGCUCCAGACCUCUGCAAUGGGAAUGUACAGGGGAAUUGGAUUGCCAAGGUCCUCUCGGCCAUUUAGUAGGCCGCGAAGCUGACAGACGAUGCCCAUGAAUGAUGAAUGAUGACUGGAGGUCCGUCUGGUGCCAACAGACUGCAUAAUACAGCAUAGAUACAGCGAUACCAUUCCUCUGACUGCACCAGAUACAUGCUGCAGCUUCUGUAUCAUAUCAGUGGCAGAUCUGCCCUCAAAGCAAAGUGGAAAUCUGCCCAACACAGCACUCAGGCCCCCUUCUCUGAAGUCCACAUUGCAGGAGGACCACCUCACAGGGAUUUUCCCCUUCACCAGGUGUGGCAGAGUCAGAGUCAGAGGGAUGGAGGACCGCCUGGUCUAGACAGGAAUGUCAGGGUGCGUGUCUACAACGCAGAUCUACAAAGGCGCCUGUGUGAAAAUGAGGAAGAAUGACGAUAAGGAGGAGAAGAAUUAAGAGAAUAUUCACCUUUUAUGAGAGCAAUUCACAGUUGAAUUACGUAUAUUUGUCACAUGUAAGGUGACUUAAUUGUUCAUUUUCUCUGUUGUCAUAUAAGCCCUUCCGGCGCCUUCGGAGUCUAAAUUAGAAGUUUAGCACAUGUUAGGAUUCUCAAGUGUUACUUUUCACAGGGUAUCACUGACUGUAAAGAAGUUAGAACAUCAUUAUGCUCUGAUCUUAUUUUGGACAGUGUGUGUUAUAUAAGUGAGAAGCAUGACACCAUGUGCUGGGAAGUUUCGCUUUUUUUUUUUUUUUUAGGACAUUAUGUGAAAUUCACUGAUACAUGACAGAGUGUUGUUUAUUUGCUCCUCACGUUUUGUCCCACAAUAUUGUAGAUACACUUUUUUUUCAUGGGGGACACAGCAUGUCCCUAACACAUCUCAUGUAUGUAGAAUUGAAAGAACAUGUGGUCAGAACAAUGUAUUCAUCUAAGGAUUACACUGCUUUGACAACCCUAGUGUCUGCUACAGAAACAUAUUCAUGUAUGUGUGCUGUAUCUGUUAAGUAGUAAUGAUCCCAAUUUGGUCACGGGGGAACAAAGACAACAUUAAGGACAUGUACUCAUACAAUAUGCAAAGCUCUGUGGAGAAAUAUUCCCUGACUGUAGUGCUCUCAUGUGACAAUAUAUGUGCAGCGUUUCACUUUUAUCAUCGCAACAUAGAUUAUUAAUGAACAUUGUAUUGUUCUGUGAAAAAUCUAGGUAAUAUAAUGUUGAAGAAAGAAUCUUACUCAACAAGCCUUGUGGAAACGGACCACACUUGUCAUAUGAGACUCAAGGAGCGGCGAAUGGUGCAGUAUACAUAGAGUACGUCUUCCUGUGCACCAUCAAGAAAAGGAGAGAAUUACUUUUUCCUUCCACACCUGUGCUGUAAAGCCCUUUAAGUCAAUUAGAGUUGAGUGGCUUGCCACAGGGUGCUGUGGCAAUGAUGGUGGUGACAUGAGAGGGGCCUCGCUUCUACCCACAAUGUGUGACUCUGGCUCUUGAAAAGGUGCUGUGUCAUAGAUCCGACGGUGUCUGACAUUUUGAAUAAAUGACAUCCUAAGCCUC